AGGCCUAAGGGCCAUUUAAACCCAAAAUCUAACUUGCAAUUAGACAUUAUCAUUAGACC
rnacentral:tRNA from 1 species